AUUGAACGCUGGCGGCAUGCCUUACACAUGCAAGUCGAACGGCAGCACGGGAGCAAUCCUGGUGGCGAGUGGCGAACGGGUGAGUAAUAUAUCGGAACGUGCCCAGUCGUGGGGAUAACGUAGCGAAAGCUACGCUAAUACCGCAUACGAUCUAUGGAUGAAAGCGGGGGAUCGCAAGACCUCGCGCGAUUGGAGCGGCCGAUAUCAGAUUAGGUAGUUGGUGAGGUAAAGGCUCACCAAGCCGACGAUCUGUAGCUGGUCUGAGAGGACGACCAGCCACACUGGGACUGAGACACGGCCCAGACUCCUACGGGAGGCAGCAGUGGGAAUUUUGGACAAUGGGCGCAAGCCUGAUCCAGCAAUGCCGCGUGCAGGAUGAAGGCCUUCGGGUU
rnacentral:rRNA from 1 species